GUUAGACGUAACAUUAAUGUUAGUUAAAUAGAUUAACAGAUCAACUUCUCAGAAUAUGUAAAUUAAGGAGAGACACCCUAAAAGCCUCAAGUGCACGUUCAUGCAGUGUCCAUGCAGUUUGAAGUCAGUCGGUCACAAGACAUUCCCAUGGUGAAGAAAUGCAUAAUGUGCUUCAUUUAAAGCAUUUAGGUACGAAGCCUUCCGAUAAUUAUGAAUACAUUAAAGCACACUUACUGGAUCUGCUCCCUGCUAUCUCAAUUCUAUAAUCAAGCUGUACAUCCCCAACCGUCCACUGCAGUCUUCUGAUGAGCGUCUGUUAUGGUGGUGAGGGCAGUGUGCAGAGCUGUGCUGAUGGCAUGGUCCGUAGACCUGUUUCCUGUAUGCAAACUGAUGAGGAUGACCUUGCAAUAGAGAGAACUGAAGAAGUCACCUGCCUGACAUCACUUGAUUUUACAGAUCAAAAUAUAGAGGUCUGGAGGACAAUGGCCACGCGUCAGACUCAAGAAGAGUGAGAACCAUCACAAAUGUUUUUUGGCGACUUUUUCUACACGUCCAGAUUGCCUGCAGCCAAGCAGCAGUGAGCAGUGUCAUCUGGUGUAAAUGACCCCUGCUGUCCAUCCUGUCUGCCGCUCUCACAUAUGAGUGGACACGCCCGACUCACUAGGCGCCCAUGACACAGCUCACACGCUGGCUCGUCACGGCACAAUCAAACAAUCACAUGUGGCAGGCCACUGACAGGCGCUGGAUAAUUGACACUCACAGUCCCUUGACACGUCCAGCUUCACUACUGUGUGUGACAGUUUGGGAGAUAUUAUGGGAUGUGCUUGGCCCCCUUUGCAUUGCGAAUAAGUUUGUCCUGAGGCUUGCUCGAGAACCUGGCUUCACAAUAAAUUGCCUCAGCAAAUUGCACUCUUCUUUCGGACAGCCCCCUAAAAAUAUGUUUUAAAAAUGAAAGCUUCAUCUAGCAGCAUAUCUUUGAGUCACAAACAUUCAUGGAAAAGUUAUAUCCAACCAGUAUCCAAAAUGCUGAGUUAGCUUUCUGCAGCAAUAUAUCAAUAUGUAUGGACUGUAAGGACAAUGAGGAACUAGGCCAAACCCAAGGUAUUUAGGUAAGGAUCCAAAAAAUAGACUGGAAGCUUACUUUGGAUGAGUCCCAGUAGCCAGUGGAUUUAUCCAUCAGAACAACAUCGGCACAGACACCAGGUUUCCCAUUAGUGUGCAUCCGGAGGGAAAUGUUUCCCUGAUUACCCCCGAGGCACUUCAAUAAAAGACAUUUUGAUUGAGAGUCCCUGAGUCAGUUGGGACCUAAGUUGAACACAGUUGGAAACCAUCAGAAAUCCCUAACAUU